ensembl:lncRNA
UUAGUCCUGUAUUGUUGGAUCCUGUAUAGCUCGCUGUGUGACCACAGCUCCUAGAGAGGCAGCCAGGGUGAGCAGGGGCAGGGGCAGGGGCUGGGAGGACCUCCUUUUCUGACAGCAGCACAGAUCUUAGGCUAGAUUGAGGUGGACUGUUAGCUAACUGGGACAGCAGCAGUGACUGCAUAUGUUCAGGAUUGUAUUACAGUUUUUCCAUUCUCUAGGAGGCAAAGAUGCUGUAGUUCCGAAUGUAAAGAUACUUAACUUCCACCUGGCUUAGAGGAGCCAGGAAUUGGUUUAUUUAUAGAAUAUGUCCUACUGGUCUAAAAAUAAAUGUUACUUUACAGUCUGGGAUCUUCCUUGGCAGUAUAAAGCCCUCUGCUCUUUUGGUACAGCUGAAAAGUACAUUGGAUUGUCCUAAGUAGCCUCUGUAGUUCCUGCCGGCUUAGAGAAUUUGGGCAGCAGUUAGAAGAGAUGUACUUGAUUGAACUCCGAAGCGGUACCACACCAGGGAACAUACGUUUGGAAUUGCACUUUUAAUGCUGUUCUUUAAUGCUGUGCCACAAUGUGUGAGAUGAACACUGCUAGACUUGGUGCAGGCCUAAUAGCCAAACUGAGGCUGCUGCUGGAAUUUACAGUAGCCCCAAAUGAGCUUGUUCAUACACUAGAUGAUAAAUGUUAAUUCCUUGUCCCCACGGCUGCUGUUGAGAGGCUCUUUCCUUUGCCAUCUACCUGUGCACAUAGGAUACUGAACGUUAUGGUCUGUUGCCAAAGACGAAAAGAGCCAAAGGGGAGAUCGGGGGUGAAGUUCUCUUCUGCUUUGUAGGAGCCUCUUCCAGUGCUGGGAUGGUCAGCUGAAAGAUGAUGCCUUGUUUUCGAUGGGAAUCAGAUUGGGCUCCACACCAGGGGUAGUAGGGCAACCCUUCCCCGUGUCCCUGUGCUCCUGCUAGGUGCGUGCACAGCCUCAGUGCUGACCUCAGUGAAGUCCUGCAUGGAGGUGUAAGACCUCUGCAAGAGCUUUGGGUUUUCCUAUAUCUAAUAUUGUGCAUGUGUUAAAUUAGUAGUACUUUAGCUGUGUAGAUAAAAAAUACUGAGUAGAGACGGUGUGUCCUUACCCAUGCAGCCAAUAAGGCAGAGAAUCAGGGCUUGCGUAGACAUGUUUAGGCUCAGGAUGGACUUUUGCGGAGUUCAUCCUUGGCUUUGGCUGAAAGCAUGAGAAAUUCCUGCCCAGCCAGCACGGGGCAAUCAGAGGCACUCUCCACUUUGCACUUCGUGUUUCCUUCUUUUGAAUAGCUUUCAAAUCAUGAUGACUGUGCAGGUGAACAGCUGUCCUGGGAGUUCAGCCAUUCAAAGAAGGAGGCUUUUCUGCUGUGUGCAAUCACAGCACAAGGACAAUUCAGUUUCUGUUACCUCGUUUAUUUCUGCGUGCAUACAAAAGUGGAAAAGACCCAGACCAAUUAAAACGAUUCUCUACCAAAAAAAAAAAAAAAAAAGCUGAUUUUAUUUCAUGGGUAAAGAUAAACGUAGUAGCUUGAUGGUGUCCUUGCAGAGAUUCAGAAAUUACUGAUGACAUGUUUUUGUUUCUGGGAAUGUUUAAAUUUGACUUAGUUCUCUUACCUUCACUAUAAAGUAUCACGAAUUGUGAGGUCUCUUCACUGUUAAGUUGUGUAUUUACAAAGGUCUGAAUGCGCCCAGCAGAUGUUUGGCUUUGUGCAGAUACUUAACACGUUGGCUUGGCGGUCCAGCGGCCCAGUGAUGUACCCUUAAGUACAUACAAAGCACAGCACUGGGCUGUUUGACCUCUGCAGCACUCUCUGGGUAUUCAGGACUGGUUGUGAAAUGGCAGGAUUGUUCAGGAUGGCAGCUUCUUGUUAUUGAAGUUGUUACUUGUGGGGAGCAGAGCUUUGUAAAUUUUAGAGAUGAUGUGCGACCGAAUAAUCAUUGGCAGUUGUAUCUGCUUUAAAAUUUCCACUCUCUUGAGCUGCUGGAUGGAGCACGUCCAGUAAAAACAUCUUCCCCUUCACAAUAACCGCCCACUUCCAUUUGCUCAUGAAAAGAAGAAAUUUUCAGUAGACAGGACUGUACAUAAUGCUGCGUUCAUGAACCAGUGUCAUAACCCCAUGACUUACUGAGUGUAUGAAGCCAGAGCCCAGGCAAGUAAUGACUUAUUCAGAGCUGCCAAGUCAAAGCAGUGGGGUUGGAGAGUGAUGGGUAUCAGCGUGGGUCAAACUGAAAUAGCUUUUAUUCAUCAUUUUCUGUUAAAUGAACAAACAAAAUAGCUGUGGUCAAUCCAAAACCGAACACAACACAUGCAGAAGGUCUUUUUUUGUUGUUGUUUUUUGGUUGGGUUUUUUUUUUUUUUUUUUUAAUUUUGCUUUUGGGAUUAAGUUCCAUUUUUAAGAAGGCUGUUUUGAAAUGAAGUUUUUUUUUUUUAAAAAAAACCCUUUUAUUAUGUUUUGGCAUUUGUGAAAUUAACAGUUCGGGGUUGUGUUCUUUUCUUGUUUUGUUUUAGGCUCACAUGUAAAAAAAAAACCCGUACCUGUUUGGUGGAUACCAAGGGCAGGUCCAGCUCUCAACCUGCAUCCUCGCAGUGUCACGCAGUGACCCCCUUCCAGCAUUUCAAUUUGGCCGUGUGGGUUUCAUUUGUAUCUUCUUGCGGCAAAGGGAAAACUGGCUCAUUGCAUGGUGUUGUCUGUAGAUAAUCAAAAUACUGUUUGCAGCAGUGCCAGCCGUCGUCUCUAAAAGCACUUAAAACUAUUAAUGUGUUUACUGUGGUUAUUUAUGACCUUGCAGCCAUCCAUUACUCUCUUUUCUUUUCACACCAUCCAUCAGACUCGCUUACCUCCCCUUCUUUCAUUCCGUUGCGAGUCAAGAGGCGGGUCUCCCCGUUUCCCCCUGGGUUUGCUCCCAGUCUGUGUUACACAUGGCAUACAGGGUGGCUAACGUAUGACUUGAAGUAACUUAUGACACAAAUCCAUUACGGAAGGUGUUAACAACACAACCGCUCAAGUACAUGGCAUACCUGAUGCCCCCGCUAGGGCAGGAAUCGAAACUCCCUGCUGUGCCGUGCUUCACAAAUGACACUCACUGUUUCUCUCUGUACUGGUUUUAUUUGAUUUUGAAAAUGAGAGUAUGUUCAGUUUGUUGCUGUGUGUCAAUAUUAAGUAUAUAUUUAUUGUUUUUCAGACAUACAUACGUAUAUAUAAAUGCUAUAUAUAUAUAUAUAAAAUGUCAACGCAUGGACAUAUGUACAGUAGAUAUUUUAAAGAGCUAUUUAUCAAGAAAAGUAAGUGUUAUAAGUAAACAGAGUUUAUAUUUUAUAUAUUAUGUAGAUAGCAAAACAACAAAACAAAACAAAAAGCCACAAAAAAAAAAAAGAAGUGUUUAAAUUAUAGUAGGACUUUUUGGGGUGGUGGGGGGGGGUGGGGUUGGAGGGACGGUGAGGGCCGGUUCCAGCAUUUUAAACAGCCAAACUACUUUGUACGGAAGCUGCCUGCUGUGCCUCUCGGCUGCAAUAUCUGUUUGUUUCUUCUUCUGGAAGAUGAUGUGCAUUGUUACUUUUACAUUGCUUGGGGAAUGUAGUUAGUUUAUUCUCAGCCAACUGGUAUGUGCUGCUUAAAUCAUGGUUUCCUGUUGUUCUGCAUAUUUGCAUCGAUGGAAUAAAAGGAUCUUAACUGGCAAAUAAAGACAUAAAAGG